GUGGCAAGCAUGUAGCUGGAGGUUCUGUGUUCAGAUGUUAUAAGCCCUGGAAUCAUCCUAUUCCCACUUUCAGAAUGGGCCUCUGAUAGCGCCUCCUUGUCCAAGAUUAUAGCCGGAGUCCAAUCCAAGGGCCCCAGGGCUACUCCCGAGCGUUGGAACUCCUGCCCCACACCUGAUUGAGGGCCAAGAUCUGAAGUCUACUAGCCCCAUCCUCUGCUGAAUGGUGGACAGUGUCCAUAGUGAACCUCGAGGGAUGAGGACCAAGUCCAGGUCUAAUAUCAUGUGAGAACCCAGGCCCAGGAGGGGUACAGCUUGCUCUGGUUUCCCCAUACAGCACCCUGACUCCUAAGCUUUUGGUAGCUGUGCAUUCCCAUAAAUCCAUGGUUUUCUGGGGACUCAGACUUACGGCGUUGAAUGUCUCAGCAAAGGUUGUUCUCCGGUGAGAUUACUGCUAUGCUGCAUGUUGCUUGAGGUCUUGUCAAG